rnacentral:rRNA from 1 species
CCUACGGGAGGCAGCAGUGAGGAAUAUUGGUCAAUGGGCGAGAGCCUGAACCAGCCAAGUCGCGUGAAGGAUGACGGCCCUACGGGUUGUAAACUUCUUUUGUCAGGGAGCAAUUGGGUCCACGCGUGGGCUUAGCGAGAGUACCUGAAGAAAAAGCAUCGGCUAACUCCGUGCCAGCAGCCGCGGUAAUACGGAGGAUGCGAGCGUUAUCCGGAUUUAUUGGGUUUAAAGGGUGCGUAGGCGGAAUAUCAAGUCAGCGGUAAAAAUUCGGGGCUCAACCCCGUCGUGUCGUUGAAACUGAUGUUCUUGAGUGGGCGAGAAGUAUGCGGAAUGCGUGGUGUAGCGGUGAAAUGCAUAGAUAUCACGCAGAACUCCGAUUGCGAAGGCAGCAUACCGGCGCCCGACUGACGCUGAGGCACGAAAGCGUGGGGAUCGAACAGGAUUAGAUACCCGAGUAGUC